rnacentral:tRNA from 1 species
CGGAGCAUGGUAUAAUAAAAACAUUUUGCUUACACCAAAAAAAAAUCUGUUAAACUCAGAUUGCUUCGA